CCUUUACCUUCCUCUGAUAACUGGCGAAAGGUUCUGAAGCCCCCAGGCCAUCUGGAGUCCUUGCAAACAAGCAUACCUACAGCCAAAGAAUUCUGUGAUGAUCAGAAGACUGACCACAGCAUCCCUGCAGUACGGAGCCAGGUAAACAUCCUCCUGCUGGAGGCAACCUGCCUGGGCGCUGGGAUCAGUCGCAGAUGCAGCACACAAUGGGCCACCCACCCUGGCAUCUUUCCUGUGGUGUCCGUUCCCUGGCAUCUUCCUGGUCAUCGACAGGUCCUGGAAUAAGCUGCAUCUGAAAUCAACAGACCUUCAUCUCCGUAGCUGUGGCUUAUUGGACCAUUCCCUGAUUCACCAGCUGAACGAGAGUCAUGCUCUCUUCUGAGGCUCCAUCAUACCUGGAAUAGACAUCUCUUGGUAGGACCAUGCUUCCUAUGUUCUCAGUUGAUAUGGCUCAGGUCGAGCUGUCCCCUUCCACAAGUCGCAGGGGUGGGUCCAGGACUCAGUCCUAGAUAAUCAAAGCACGAUUUUCCCCUGGCUACUGUGCUUUGUUCAAGAGCAGGCACAUGAUUCAGGUUGGUCUAAGACAAGUUCUGGAAUUUUGGCUAAAAUCAUUGAAAAAGUGUUGCUCUUUGAGUUGGAGUUGCUAAGCUGGCAGGAUAUAAGCCUAAAGUUCUUGGUGGCCAUCAUGCCAGCAGGGAAUUAAGUUGACUCAGAAAAAACCAGAGGGAAAUGAUGGAGGGAUUUCUGAUAACAUCAUUUGGACACCCUGAUCAAGCCAUACCUGAAACCUCAACUAGAUUUAGGAACCAAUAACCUCCCUUUAUUGCUUAAGCCAAUUGGAGCAGGCACACCUAACACUUUUGACCAAGAGUCUAGGAUAAUCUAGCAUCUCUAUGUCCCUUCAUAAUGUGGCUUCUCAUUUUGUAUCUGAUGUUGCAAUAUUCCUGAGCACAUUUAAUGCAUCCUCCUUGGCUCCGAGAAUUUUUUUUUUUUUUUUUU